rnacentral:rRNA from 1 species
GACAGAGGGUGCAAACGUUACUCGGAAUUACUGGGCGUAAAGCGUGUGUAGGCGGUCCUCUAAGUCGGAUGUGAAAUCCCUGGGCUCAACCCAGGAAGCGCACUCGAAACUGGAGGGCUAGAGUAUCGGAGAGGUUGGUGGAAUUCUCGGUGUAGAGGUGAAAUUCGUAGAUAUCGAGAGGAACACCGGUGGCGAAGGCGGCCAACUGGACGAAUACUGACGCUGAGACACGAAAGCGUGGGGAGCAAACAGG